AGAGUUUGAUCCUGGCUCAGAACGAACGCUGGCGGCGUGCCUAACACAUGCAAGUCGAACGGAAUUAAGGGGCUUGCUCCUUAAUUUAGUGGCGCACGGGUGAGUAACGCGUGGAUAAUCUGCCUGACGAUCUGGGAUAACAUCUCGAAAGGGGUGCUAAUACCGGAUAAGCCCACGGGGACUUCGGUUCUUGCGGGAAAAGGGGGGGACCUUCGGGCCUUCUGUCGUCAGAUGAGUCCGCGUACCAUUAGCUAGUUGGUAGGGUAAAGGCCUACCAAGGCUACGAUGGUUAGCUGGUUUGAGAGAAUGAUCAGCCACACUGGAACUGAGACACGGUCCAGACUCCUACGGGAGGCAGCAGUGGGGAAUUUUGCGCAAUGGGCGAAAGCCUGACGCAGCAACGCCGCGUGAGUGAUGAAGGCUUUCGGGUCGUAAAGCUCUGUCGAGGGGAAAGAAGUGUAUUGUGGCUAAUAUCCACGAUACUUGACGGUACCCCUAAAGGAAGCACCGGCUAACUCCGUGCCAGCAGCCGCGGUAAUACGGGGGGUGCAAGCGUUGUUCGGAAUUACUGGGCGUAAAGAGUGCGUAGGCGGUUAACUAAGUUUGGUGUGAAAUCUCCCGGCUUAACUGGGAGGGUGCGCCGAAAACUGGCUAGCUAGAGUGUGGGAGAGGAUAGUGGAAUUCCUGGUGUAGCGGUGAAAUGCGUAGAUAUCAGGAGGAACACCUGCGGUGUAGACGGCUAUCUGGACCAUGACUGACGCUGAGGCACGAAAGCGUGGGUAGCAAACAGGAUUAGAUACCCUGGUAGUCC
rnacentral:rRNA from 1 species